GCUCAGGACGAACGCUGGCGGCGUGCCUAAUACAUGCAAGUCGAGCGGGGGUGGUGAGGUAGCUUGCUAUUGAGCCACCCUAGCGGCGGACGGGUGAGUAACGCGUGGGCAACCUGCCCUGUAGGCCGGGAUAACAGGUCGAAAGGCCUGCUAAUACCGGAUGAGCUCGCGGGGUCGCAUGGCCUUGUGAGGAAAGGGGAGACCCGCUACAGGAUGGGCCCGCGUCCCAUUAGCUAGUUGGUGAGGUAACGGCUCACCAAGGCGACGAUGGGUAGCCGGCCUGAGAGGGCGACCGGCCACACUGGAACUGAGACACGGUCCAGACUCCUACGGGGGGCAGCAGUAGGGAAUCUUCGGCAAUGGGCGAAAGCCUGACCGAGCGACGCCGCGUGAGGGACGAAGGUCUUCGGAUUGUAAACCUCUGUCUAGGGGGACGAGGAAGGACGGUACCCCUGGAGGAAGCCCCGGCUAACUACGUGCCAGCAGCCGCGGUAAUACGUAGGGGGCGAGCGUUGUCCGGAAUUACUGGGCGUAAAGGGCGCGCAGGCGGCCAUGUAAGUCAGGUGUGAAAGGCCGAGGCUCAACUUCGGUUAGACGUCUGAUACUGCGUGGCUUGAGGGCAAGAGAGGGAAGUGGAAUUCCCGGUGUAGCGGUGAAAUGCGUAGAUAUCGGGAGGAACACCAGUGGCGAAGGCGGCUUCCUGGAUUGUACCUGACGCUCAUGCGCGAAAGCUGGGGGAGCGAAC
rnacentral:rRNA from 1 species